CCUACGGGUGGCAGCAGUGAGGAAUAUUGGUCAAUGGGCGCGAGCCUGAACCAGCCAAGUAGCGUGAAGGAUGACUGCCCUACGGGUUGUAAACUUCUUUUAUAAAGGAAUAAAGUGAGGCACGUGUGCCUUUUUGUAUGUACUUUAUGAAUAAGGAUCGGCUCACUCCGUGCCAGCAGCCGCGGUAAUACGGAGGAUCCGAGCGUUAUCCGGAUUUAUUGGGUUUAAAGGGAGCGUAGAUGGGUUGUUAAGUCAGUUGUGAAAGUUUGCGGCUCAACCGUACAAUUGCAAUUGAUACUGGCAGUCUUGAGUGCAGAUGAGGUAGGCGGAAUGCGUGGUGUAGCGGUGAAAUGCUUAGAUAGCACGAAGAACACCGAUUGCGAAGGCAGCUUACGAAACUGCCACUGACAUUGAUGCACGAAAGUGUGGGGAGCAAACAGGAUUAGAUACCCUUGUAGUC
rnacentral:rRNA from 1 species